rnacentral:rRNA from 1 species
GAUGAACGCUGGCGGCGUGCCUAAUACAUGCAAGUCGAGCGAACAGACGAGGAGCUUGCUCCUCUGACGUUAGCGGCGGACGGGUGAGUAACACGUGGAUAACCUACCUAUAAGACUGGGAUAACUUCGGGAAACCGGAGCUAAUACCGGAUAAUAUAUUGAACCGCAUGGUUCAAUAGUGAAAGACGGUUUUGCUGUCACUUAUAGAUGGAUCCGCGCCGCAUUAUCUAGUUGGUAAGGUAACGGCUUACCAAGGCAACGAUGCGUAGCCGACCUGAGAGGGUGAUCGGCCACCCUGGAACUGAGACACGGUCCAGACUCCUACGGGAGGCAGCAGUAGGGAAUCUUCCGCAACGGGCGAAAGCCUGACGGAGCAACGCCGCGUGAGUGAUGAAGGUCUUCGGAUCGUAAAACUCUGUUAUUAGGGAAGAACAAAUGUGUAAGUAACUAUGCACGUCUUGACGGUACCUAAUAAGAAAGCCACGGCUAACUACGUG